AUUGAGUUGAUUACGAUGG
rnacentral:miRNA from 1 species